AUGAAGUCAACAACCAUAUCCAAAACUCAUAACAAAUAUACAUUCAAAAAACUCAGUAUCACUUUGAAGCCAAAAUCUGAAUCUGGUAUAGAUUUAAAACUGAAGCAGGGUGUUGUCCCAAAAUUUGCCGCUCAGAUUGCGCAUGAGCAACAUGGGAAUUCGGCUCCCGCUGCUAGAAUGGCUAUGACACAUAGGGUGCAUCCUCGUGUUUCUUUGAAUCCUUAUAUGGGUACCCUGGCAAUCAAGAUUCGAGCCACAAAAAUCAGGGAGGGGGACUGA